GAUGAAGAACGUAGUGAAAUGCGAUAAAUAAUGUGAAUUGCAGAAUUCAGUGAAUCAUCGAAUCUUUGAACGCACCUUGCGCCCUUUGGCUAUUCCGAAGGGCAUGCCUGUUUGAGUAUCAUGAACACCUCAACUCUCAUGGUUUGCCAUGAUGAGCUUGGACUCUGGGGGUCUUGCUGGCCUAUGGUCAGCUCCUCUCAAAUAAAUCAGCUUGCCAGUGUUUGGUGGCAUCACAGGUGUGAUAACUAUCUACGCUUGUGGUUUUCCAUCAGGUAACCUUCAGUGAUGGAGGUUCGCUGGAGCUCAUAAAUGUCCCUCCUCAGCGAGGACAGCUUUUUGAACGUUUGAUCUCAAAUCAGGUAGGACUACCCGCUGAACUUAAGCAUAUCAAUAAGCGGAGA
rnacentral:misc_RNA from 1 species